rnacentral:antisense_RNA from 1 species
GAUUCUUCCCAAUUCUACCGCCAUCAUUCUGGUUCAAGCUACCUGAUGUCACCACCAUUCAAUGCAGAAAUGAUGGGCAAUACCAAAGCUCAACUUACUAAAGCAAUUAUUCUGGCUAACUUAUUCAGGUCCAGCUUUGACUUUACCUGGUUUUUUAUAGAAUGCUACAACUCCCUCUAGAAGCUUCUCUUGAUAAGGUAAAGCAUGCACAAAGCAAAUUUCGGUUGUAUCCUAGAAAUGAUAGCCAUAUUCAGGAUACUGGUUACACCUGAGGAAACAUCUCCAUGAAAGUUAAGCAUAUACAGGACCUCACUUUGUUACCCAGGCUAGAGUGCAAUGGUGUGACCACAGCUCACUGCAGCCUCAACCUCCUGGGCUCACUUAAGCAAUCCUCUCACUUCGGUCUCCUGAGUAGCUGGGCCUACAGGCAUGUACCACCACUCCCAGCAAGUUUUUAUUAUUUUUUGUGAAGACAGAGUCUUGCAGUAUUGCCCAAGCUGGACUUGAACUCCUGGCCUCAAGCAAUCCUCCCAUCUAGGCCUCCCGAAGUGCUAGGAUUACAGGCAUGAGCCACUGUGCCAAGCAACACUUGUACUUUUUAAGUGAAAAUGAUCCUGUAAAUAUAUAUAUGAAUAAAAUCUAGAAAG